CGUAUAGGGGAGCCGGAGGGAAACCGAGUCUUAAUUGGGCGUUAAGUUGCAGGGUAUAGACCCGAAACCCGGUGAUCUAGCCAUGGGCAGGUUGAAGGUUGGGUAACACUAACUGGAGGACCGAACCGACUAAUGUUGAAAAAUUAGCGGAUGACCUGUGGCUGGGGGUGAAAGGCCAAUCAAACCGGGAGAUAGCUGGUUCUCCCCGAAAGCUAUUUAGGUAGCGCCUCGUGAAUUCAUCUCCGGGGGUAGAGCACUGUUUCGGCUAGGGGGCCAUCCCGGCUUACCAACCCGAUGCAAACUGCGAAUACCGGAGAAUGUUAUCACGGGAGACACACGGCGGGUGCUAACGUCCGUCGUGAAGAGGGAAACAACCCAGACCGCCAGCUAAGGUCCCAAAGUCAUGGUUAAGUGGGAAACGAUGUGGGAAGGCCCAGACAGCCAGGAUGUUGGCUUAGAAGCAGCCAUCAUUUAAAGAAAGCGUAAUAGCUCACUGGUCGAGUCGGCCUGCGCGGAAGAUGUAACGGGGCUAAACCAU
rnacentral:rRNA from 2 species